rnacentral:sRNA from 1 species
GAGGGUGCAAGCGUUAUCCGGAUUUAUUAGGUUUAAAGGGUUCGCAGGCAGAAUUUUAAGUCAGUGGUGAAAGCCUACAGCUCAACUGUAGAACUGCCAUUGAAACUGAUAUUCUUGAGUAUAGAUGAAGUGGGCGGAAUAUGUCAUGUAGCGGUGAAAUGCAUAGAUAUGACAUGGAACACCAAUUGCGAAGGCAGCUCACUAAACUAUUACUGACGCUCAUGAACGAAAGCGUGGGGAGCAAACAGGAUUAGAUACCCUGGUAGUCCACGCCGUAAACUAUGAUCACUAGAUGUUGGCGAUAUAUUGUCAGUGUUUUAGAGAAAUCGUUAAGUGAUCCACCUGGGGAGUACGUUCGCAAGAAUGAAACUCAAAGGAAUUGACGGGGGCCCGCACAAGCGGAGGAGCAUGUGGUUUAAUUCGAUGAUACGCGAGGAACCUUACCAAGACUUAAAUGUAUUUUGACAGGUUGAGAAAUCAACUUUUCUUCGGACAAUUUACAAGGUGCUGCAUGGUUGUCGUCAGCUCGUGCCGUGAGGUGUCGGGUUAAGUCCCAUAACGAGCGCAACCCCUAUUUUUAGUUACCAGCGAGUCAUGUCGGGAACUCUAGAAAGACUGCCUGUGUAAUCAGUGAGGAAGGUGGAGAUGACGUCAAAUCAUCACGGCCCUUAUGUCUUGGGCUACACACGUGCUACAAUGGUCACUACAGUGGGCUGCCAUCUGGCAACAGAGAGCAAAUCCAUAAAGGUGAUCCCAGUUCGGAUCGGAGUCUGCAACUCGACUCUGUGAAGUUGGAUUCGCUAGUAAUCGUAUAUCAGCAAUGAUACGGUGAAUACGUUCCCGGGCCUUGUACACACCGCCCGUCAAGCCAUGGAAGUUUGUGGUGCCUGAAGUCAGUAACCGUAAGGAUCUGCCUAGGGUAAAACAGGUAACUAGGGCUAAGUCGUAACAAGGUAGCCGUACCGGAAGGUGUGGCUGGAAUAUCUCUUUUUUUGAGUAUUGUUUGUGUUUAAUUCUAUCUUCUUUUUCCUUUUUAAAGUCUCGUAGCUCAGCUGGUUAGAGCGCUACACUGAUAAUGUAGAGGUCGGCAGUUCGAGUCUGCCCGGGACUACAUUAAAAAGGGGGAUUAGCUCAGUUGGCUAGAGCGCUUGCCUUGCACGCAAGAGGUCAUCGGUUCGACUCCGAUAUUCUCCACUUAAUCUGUUAUUUUUAAUAACUAGAUAAAGUUCUUUGACAUAUUGUAAUGAAUAUAUAUAUAUAUACUUAAUUUUUAAAAGUUAUUAAGGGCGUAUGGCGGAUGCCUAGGCUCUCAUAGGCGAAGAAGGACGUGACAAGCUGCGAUAAGUUUCGAUAAGGUGCAAAUAACCUUUGAGUCGAAAAUUU